UACGGGGGGGGCAAGCGUUGUUCGGAAUUACUGGGCGUAAAGGGCUCGUAGGCGGCCAACUAAGUCAGACGUGAAAUCCCUCGGCUUAACCCAGAGACGGCUUCCAAAACUGCUGUGCUUGAGUGUGGGAGAGGCUCGUGGAAUUGCAGGUGUAGCGGUGAAAUGCGCAGAUAUCGGGAGGAACACCGGUGGCGAAGGCGGUUCUCUGGGCCUUACCUGACGCUGAGGAGCGAAAGCGUGGGGAGCGAACAGG
rnacentral:rRNA from 1 species